AUUCUAAAUUGAGAGCAGACAAAGCAGUUCUGCAAAGAUUGAGUCAUUUGGAUAAAGCCCCACACUAAUUAUGGACUCAGGAGGGUGAUAAUGGGUUAGAUAACAAGCCAACAGUGAUUAUAUUUAAAUGUGAGAACCCUUCGAGACUCGUUAUUUUUGUAGGUUAUGUAAGCUGCAUUUAUCUGGUAUGAUUAACGCAAUAAUGGAACGAAGUAGCUGAAAGAACGUACAAAAUCCAGAAUACAAGUGCUCUAACAAGAAAUAUAACAAACAGGUAUUGAGUAGAGCUAUGGUCAGUGGCGAGAAAACGCCAAAAUUAAGCCCCAUUUAAACUAUCCAUUAUUAAGUUUUUAUAUUGGUUUGAAUUCUUUUCGUUGAUUUCGUACUGUUUGAUUCAGAAUUAAAUUUCAUUAGUUUUGUUUCUGUCAGCUGUCAAAUAUGUUUCGAAAUUUUGCCAGUCGUUUGAGGUUAUGUAACCACUACGAAAACAAAAAGUGUGUAAACAAAUGGGCCAGUUAUUAGGAUUCCUGUGUUGGUCUUAGUGAAGUAAAAAUCGUGAACUUACCUUUUCUACUUUUAAAUUUUAUGUGUAUUUGGAAAUUUAGUAUGUAUCAUCGAAAUGUAGCUUUUCAGGUGGUAUAUGUAAUGACAUUGAAUGUAUAAGUUUUAGGUAAUAGUUUUGUGUCUUAAGACAAUAUUUUAGCAACUAGAACAAGAUUAAUACCAUUGAAAGCCACAAAGAACAGAAAAAGGGAACUCAGUCGUUAUGUUUACCCUUAAACAUUCCCUGAACAUAGAAGUGACAGUCCACACUGAUACAUUUAGUACAAAAAGCGCUUCAGAUGGUUUCUUGUCUGUUUUUUUUAUACAAAUUAUUAUAACUGUGGGUCAUACAAUUCGCGUGUUGGAACUAGUACUAAAAUCAGCUAUUCGUAACGUUUUUGGGUGAAAUGUGGAAUAUGGACUAGAAAUAAAGACAUAAAAAGAUAUAGAUUUGGAUUCAAAGUUAUUACAGUUUUCUGUUACAUGACACUUUCAGCAUGUCUUAGGUUAAAUAACUUGAACAUAGAUGGCGCCACAACAACUUGUUCAAUUGUUCAAGUUCCAUCCAUUCCAUCAUAUUUUACAAAAUAUUUUCAAAUUAAAUUACUCUUAGUAGGCGUAUGCAUAUUUGUUGAUUCAUGUUACAUAAUUACAUUCAAUUUUAUCAAAUCUAGCAUGCUUUGAAAACAUGGCGAGUUUUGUUGAAACGAAAGUCGGAAAGAAUUUAGAUAAAGUAAUUAUUUAUGAAAGAUCAUAGCAAUCAAUAUAUUUUGCCUCUAAAAGGUAGCAGAGUUUCGAGUUUGUUAUUGUUUUUAUUAUGGGGUACAUUGGAAGUGUGGUUUAUGAGUCUGCUGUAGUGAUAGAAAGAGCGGAUCUUUUGAAGCUAUGAAUUAUUUAGAAGUCAUUGAAUGUAUUGAGAAUGUAGAGGUGUCUCUAGGCAGUUAUAACUUUCAUCACAAACACUGCAAAGCUCACUUUUCUGAUGACGUUUGUUUGACUUGCCUUAGUGACAUUAUGUCACACUAAUUGGAUCAAGAGUGUUUGAAGAAUGGUCCAUUUUUUGAGGAAAUGUUACGGUUUGUGUUAAGUUUUAAUUUGAAAAGAAGGAACAAAAAGAAUUAUUUAAAUAAAGUAGAACAAAACGCCUUAUUCUUUUUGUUUCUUUGUUUUUUAGGUUUUCUUUGGUUCUGAUUUCAUUAAUACAACUGUAAUUUGACAGUUUUGUCGUUUGUACUAACCGAGUGAACUUAAAAUUGAAACCAAACAUCUAUUUGCGGCUAGUCACUAAUCCAACUAUAGGUAUAUUGCUGAAAUAAAAAAAUGUUUGAUGUUAAUUUACAUGCAAAUAACGUUCCCUAAAGAUUUCGCAAAAGCACCGUCACCACCAAAAAGUUAAUGAUAUCGUCCCAAAACUGCAUUUCGUGCGCUUCCUUUCAACAUAAUCUUAAAUGCAACUUCAUCUCCGCGGAAAUAACACUCCGAAGAAAUUUUCAUUUUCCAUUAUCAAGAGAAAUGUAAACGACGCCGUUUUUUUUUUUUUUGUUUUCAGAUAACGCCUCUUUUUUAAUUGUAACAAAAACGCGUCAGGCCCACAGGAUGUUCUUUCACUCCCGCUUUAAAGCGGAAUGUGUGCAUGAAUUUAAUUUCAGAGCGGAAAUUGCGUCUUUCCAAUACCCUUUUCUGUUGUUUAACGAUAAAACAUUGGCGAUUCUAGCCGUCGAGAACAACAAUGUCGUCUCAGAUAGGGUGGGAGUUCAAGAAAAUUUUUUCCCUCUCUCACUGAGUGUCUAUUGUUCAUCGGGUCUUCAUUUAUCACGGAAUUUUCAGCAUGUUUGUCGCUUUGGAUUGGAAGGGUAAUUUGUUCCGAAUUUGCGCUCUUACUCGACUCGUUUUUCCACUCGACGAUUCGUGUCUUUUCAAAGAUUGGAAGUAUUGUCUGAUUGUAAUCAAAAACAGAUUAUUGGUGUGACGGAGGGCGGUCGGGGCGGGGUGAAGUAUUUUUGCAAAAACACGCCUGAAACUGUGACCUGUGAAGCUCACGAUAUACAUAUUAUGUAAGUCGUGUUUUGUAUCUUUCACUCGCCAAAACAACGAAUGAUGAAACUGUCUAGCAGAAAUUUACAGCAUCUAGGACAAAGCACACACGCCAACGUAAUUGCAGUUCUCCUUUCUGGCACCGGCUCUAAGAACGAAGAUUAUUUAUCGCCGCCUCGAUGAUCUGACAAGUGAGAAAUUGACCGAAUCACACGUUUCUGAUAUUUUCAACGUUCUCAACAACAUCUCUAUAUCCACGUACGAACCGUUCCUACCAAUAUUCAUCUCCAUUACUCUCUCCAUUCUCCCGUCCGGUUUCCUCUUAGUCGCCAAAUGGACCCACAGUAAAGUUUUCUAUUUGGAAAAUCGCGGAAAAGCCGAUUUCCCGAACAACGCUCCGCUUCACCAAAAGUAUAGCCGGAUUGAUGAGAGUCCCCGGCGGUGGCGACCUCUAUACACUCGAAGCCCCACGACUCAGCCAAAUAUACGAUAGGUAUUUAAUCGAGUUUCGCAAUUAAAUCUAAAAUAGCAAAAAUUUUCGAGAGGCGAUUGCAGACUGAGUCUGGAGAGCGACAUUUUCGUGUUCUAUGAGCUGUGAAACGCCAAGAAAACUGAAAAGACACACUCGUUGUUGCAGUUCGUUUUUUUUUUUUUUUUGUUAGGUGCUCUGGGAAAGUUAUGAGUUUGUCGGAUAAUAAUGCCUCCGAAGAGGUUUUAAACUGUGCACGAGAGUCGGUUGUUAUGGUGGAAGCGGUUAUAAAUAAUGACGUAAGUGGUUUUUCUUUAAAAAAGUUUGUCGGUUUGGAAGUUUUGUGAGCCGUAUGCGUUAAGCAGUUUCUGGAAAAAGGGUGUGCUAUUACAGCAAGUGGCGAAACUACUUAAAACUUGUGUUAACGAUUUAUAAAUUCGCAAACACGUUUUUUAAUUGUCAAGGGGUUGUAGCGUUUGUAGAGCGUAGGCAGGGGUAACACAGUUAAACAGAAAACUACCAUUGAAUUCAUUUUCGCUUUAAGCACACCCACCCCUCCUGAACAUCCAAGUUAACAGAAUAAUUCACCCCCGACCUCCCAAGGUUACAACGCAUGCUGAGACUUCUCUAAACUGUUGGUAAUUUCCGAAAGUUUGACGAGCUCCAUGCCCCAACUUCCAGGUGGGAUUACCAGACGAACUGACAAACAAUUAUUACGACGUGGCAGGAUCGAUUUUCAGGCGAUUAAGCGACAACGUGUCCGACGGAUUCAAUCGCGCAUGCAACAAAGAACCUCCAACUCUAAUCCGAAACGUCCAAACCUGAACAAACACUUUUGCACAAAACCCCGCCAGCAGAAACCAGGUCGUGGAAAAUCCUCGAAAAAUCAAAUUCGUUUUGUGCUCCACUAACAAAAUUUUGUGGUCUAGUAUAGUGAGGAAGUGCUCCAGCUCCGCUUCCCUAGAGUGGAGCUGCAAUAUCGGUACGAGUGUUUGUCGCCGCCUGGUAGUUAAUUCUUGUAAUCGUCUCGAGCGUUGAGUCAGAUUGAUGACUGCUCUGUUUGCCGAAUUAAUCCUUGGCUCCCCGUCCCAGUCAUGCCGUUGUGUUUUCCCCGAAUUUGCAUAUGCAUUCAGGAGAAACAUUGUUUGCAAUAAGCUCGAGCUUGCGGCGGCGCCGCUGCACUUCGACACUAGCAGAAGAGAUGUUGAGCAAAUUCGCAACUCGAAUAAAGAUUUAGUCUCGAGUUUGAGUAAUCUUGAGCAAAAAGGUCUCUGGGGCAUCUCUUACAUAAGUUACAACCCCGUAUGCAAAGCCCAAAGUUUUAUCUUUGUUUGUAGGUGAAGAGCACCUCGGCACAACAUUAAGACAGAGAUAAGUAUUCACUUUUUCUUUUUAAUAAAGCGUUGUUUCAACGUGGGUGGUUUCCUACACGGUUUCCCCUCUUCCAAACUUCGAUCCGAAUCUUUAAAAGUUGUUCCGAAGGGAUGUAAUUUAAUUGAUGCCGCGAAAAAGUAGGUCAUCAACACUCCUCCGCCGAAUUGCGGUGGCUCGU